ensembl:lncRNA
GCUGCGCCCCGGGAGAAAGUCGAUGACGGCAAAACCGCUGUGACUUAUCCUGGAAACUAGCAGACCGCGCAGCUUUCUCACCUCUGUUUCCUGUGGUUUCGCUGACUUUACCGAGACCAAGAGUUGACCGCUAAACUUCUGAAUGAAAUGUAGACAUCUAGAAAAGUGCACACAUGCGUAUACAAAAGCUCAAACGGACUUUGAGGCCAAUGCAGUACACUAUGUGUAUAAUGUGUGUGCAGGUAGGUUUCAUCCUUUAUCAACGACAUCAUUUUAAGGCACUCAAACAUUGCACAGGUCAUCUCUUCACAGGAUCUCAGCAGGGAACCAAAUCAGGGCCCCCGCCACCUGCCAUGACUGUCUAGACCUCUCUCCGCUCUGUCACACAGGCAGGCAUUGAAACGCAGCUCCUGGAAAUGGGUUCCUACAGCUCUGUCUUCCAUGGGGUUUUAAUCGAGUCAGGAUUAAAUGUUGACCUUCAUGAGAUAAUUCAAAUAAACAAGCCUCUGUUGAGAACAUUCUAACCUGUCGGGCAGGACGAUGGAAAAGCUGCGGAGAGGCACACAAAAGAAAGGAGGGUGUUUCUCAGACUCUUUGCAGCUUGGACACCUUCAAACCCUCAGAAAACAUUCUCCAAGGGGUGGGAGAACUGGGAGACUGGAAUUGACACGUAUAACAGAUUGCCACUAUGUUUAAGAUAGAUGACUAAUGAGAACCUACUGUAGAGCACAGGGAAUUCUCCUCAAUGCCCUGUGGUGACCUAAAUGGGCAGCAAAUCCAAAAAUGAGGGGAUAUAUGUAUAUGUAUAGCUGAUUCACUUCAUUGUACAGCAAAAACUGACACAACAUUGAAAUACAA